rnacentral:tRNA from 1 species
AACCCUGCUGGUGAAGGUGAUGUGUCGCGCAGACUGUAAAUCUGCCGGCUCAGCCUUCCCAGGUUCGAAUCCUGGCGCCGCCA